UGAUUGAUACGUCUGUGGGUAGA
rnacentral:miRNA from 1 species